UACGAAGGGGGCUAGCGUUGUUCGGAAUUACUGGGCGUAAAGCGCACGUAGGCGGAAUGUUAAGUCAGGGGUGAAAUCCUGGAGCUCAACUCCAGAACUGCCUUUGAUACUGGCGAUCUCGAGUCCGGGAGAGGUGAGUGGAACUGCGAGUGUAGAGGUGAAAUUCGUAGAUAUUCGCAAGAACACCAGUGGCGAAGGCGGCUCACUGGCCCGGUACUGACGCUGAGGUGCGAAAACGUGGGGAGCAAACAGG
rnacentral:rRNA from 1 species